GCCUGAGUGGCUCAGUCAGUUAAGCGUCUGACUUCAGCUCAGGUCAUGAUCUCACAGUCUGUGGGUUCGAGCCCCACGUCAGGCU
rnacentral:tRNA from 1 species